UACGUAGGUGGCGAGCGUUGUCCGGAUUUACUGGGCGUAAAGAGCGCGCAGGCGGUCGUUCAAGUCGCGUGUGAAAGCCCCCGGCUCAACUGGGGAGGGUCACGCGAUACUGAUCGACUCGAAGGCAGGAGAGGGUAGUGGAAUUCCCGGUGUAGUGGUGAAAUGCGUAGAUAUCAGGAGGAACACCAAUUGCGAAGGCAGCUCGCUGGGACGUUACUGACGCUGAGACGCGAAAGCGUGGGGAGCAAACAGG
rnacentral:rRNA from 1 species